UCGGGGGGGUGGGCCCUAUACAUGCAAGUCGAACGCGUUGGCCCAAUUGAUUGAUGGUGCUUGCACCUGAUUGAUUUUGGUCGCCAACGAGUGGCGGACGGGUGAGUAACACGUAGGUAACCUGCCCAGAAGCGGGGGACAACAUUUGGAAACAGAUGCUAAUACCGCAUAACAGCGUUGUUCGCAUGAACAACGCUUAAAAGAUGGCUUCUCGCUAUCACUUCUGGAUGGACCUGCGGUGCAUUAGCUUGUUGGUGGGGUAAUGGCCUACCAAGGCGAUGAUGCAUAGCCGAGUUGAGAGACUGAUCGGCCACAAUGGGACUGAGACACGGCCCAUACUCCUACGGGAGGCAGCAGUAGGGAAUCUUCCACAAUGGGCGCAAGCCUGAUGGAGCAACACCGCGUGAGUGAAGAAGGGUUUCGGCUCGUAAAGCUCUGUUGUUAAAGAAGAACACGUAUGAGAGUAACUGUUCAUACGUUGACGGUAUUUAACCAGAAAGUCACGGCUAACUACGUGCCAGCAGCCGCGGUAAUACGUAGGUGGCAAGCGUUAUCCGGAUUUAUUGGGCGUAAAGAGAGUGCAGGCGGUUUUCUAAGUCUGAUGUGAAAGCCUUCGGCUUAACCGGAGAAGUGCAUCGGAAACUGGAUAACUUGAGUGCAGAAGAGGGUAGUGGAACUCCAUGUGUAGCGGUGGAAUGCGUAGAUAUAUGGAAGAACACCAGUGGCGAAGGCGGCUACCUGGUCUGCAACUGACGCUGAGACUCGAAAGCAUGGGUAGCGAACAGGAUUAGAUACCCUGGUAGUCCAUGCCGUAAACGAUGAGUGCUAGGUGUUGGAGGGUUUCCGCCCUUCAGUGCCGGAGCUAACGCAUUAAGCACUCCGCCUGGGGAGUACGACCGCAAGGUUGAAACUCAAAGGAAUUGACGGGGGCCCGCACAAGCGGUGGAGCAUGUGGUUUAAUUCGAAGCUACGCGAAGAACCUUACCAGGUCUUGACAUCUUGCGCCAACCCUAGAGAUAGGGCGUUUCCUUCGGGAACGCAAUGACAGGUGGUGCAUGGUCGUCGUCAGCUCGUGUCGUGAGAUGUUGGGUUAAGUCCCGCAACGAGCGCAACCCUUGUUACUAGUUGCCAGCAUUAAGUUGGGCACUCUAGUGAGACUGCCGGUGACAAACCGGAGGAAGGUGGGGACGACGUCAGAUCAUCAUGCCCCUUAUGACCUGGGCUACACACGUGCUACAAUGGACGGUACAACGAGUCGCGAACUCGCGAGGGCAAGCAAAUCUCUUAAAACCGUUCUCAGUUCGGACUGCAGGCUGCAACUCGCCUGCACGAAGUCGGAAUCGCUAGUAAUCGCGGAUCAGCAUGCCGCGGUGAAUACGUUCCCGGGCCUUGUACACACCGCCCGUCACACCAUGAGAGUUUGUAACACCCAAAGUCGGUGGGGUAACCUUUUAGGAGCCAGCCGCUAAGGUGGACAGAUUG
rnacentral:rRNA from 1 species